GAUGAACGCUGGCGGCGUGCCUAAUACAUGCAAGUCGAACGAAGCGGGAACGGGUGAGUAACACGUGGAUAACCUCCUAUAAGUCUGGGAUAACUUCGGGAAACCGGAGCUAAACCGGAUAGUUAGGGGUCGAUCCGUGCUGGAUUGGCUAGUUGGUAAGGUAACGGCUGACCAAGGCAACGAUGCAUAGCCGACCUGAGAGGGUGAUCGGCCACACUGGAACUGAGACACGGUCCAGACUCCUACGGGAGGCAGCAGUAGGGAAUCUUCCGCAAUGGGCGAAAGCCUGACGGAGCAACGCCGCGUGAGUGAUGAAGGUCUUCGGAUCGUAAAACUCUGUUAUUAGGGAAGCGGUACCUAAUCAGAAAGCCACGGCUAACUACGUGCCAGCAGCCGCGGUAAUUC
rnacentral:rRNA from 1 species